GCAGUAAGGAAUAUUGGUCAAUGGAGGCAACUCUGAACCAGCCAUGCCGCGUGCAGGAAGACUGCCCUAUGGGUUGUAAACUGCUUUUAUUCGGGAAUAAACCUAUUUACGUGUAAAUAGCUGAAUGUACCGAAGGAAUAAGGAUCGGCUAACUCCGUGCCAGCAGCCGCGGUAAUACGGAGGAUCCAAGCGUUAUCCGGAUUUAUUGGGUUUAAAGGGUGCGUAGGCGGCCUGUUAAGUCAGGGGUGAAAGACGGUAGCUCAACUAUCGCAGUGCCCUUGAUACUGAUGGGCUUGAAUGGACUAGAGGUAGGCGGAAUGAGACAAGUAGCGGUGAAAUGCAUAGAUAUGUCUCAGAACACCGAUUGCGAAGGCAGCUUACUAUGGUCUUAUUGACGCUGAGGCACGAAAGCGUGGGGAUCAAACAGGAUUAGA
rnacentral:rRNA from 1 species